UUCGCAGUAUAUUCUUGUGAAUUUGCUACUUUUAACGGUCAAAUCACAGGAGUAUACUGUGAG
rnacentral:pre_miRNA from 1 species